CCUACGAGUGGCAGCAGUGAGGAAUAUUGGUCAAUGGACGAGAGUCUGAACCAGCCAAGUAGCGUGAAGGAUGACUGCCCUAUGGGUUGUAAACUUCUUUUAUAUGGGAAUAAAACGUUCCACGUGUGGGUUUUUGUAUGUACCAUAUGAAUAAGGAUCGGCUAACUCCGUGCCAGCAGCCGCGGUAAUACGGAGGAUCCGAGCGUUAUCCGGAUUUAUUGGGUUUAAAGGGAGCGUAGGUGGGUUGUUAAGUCAGUUGUGAAAGUUUGCGGCUCAACCGUAGAAUUGCAUUUGAGACUGGCAGUCUUGAGUACAGUAGAGGGGGGCAGAAUGCGAGGGGUAGAGGUGAAAUGCGUAGAGAUCCCGAAGAACAGCGAUGGCGAAGGCGGUCCACUGGACUACAACUGACACUGAGGUGCGAAAGUGUGGGGAUCAAACAGGAUUAGAGACCCUAGUAGUC
rnacentral:rRNA from 1 species